GCCCAUCUCCUAAUCCCCAGACCUUGUGAAAGGAACUUCACACACGUGGUUAAGUUAAGGAACUGGAGACGGGAGAGUAUUCUAGAUUGUCAAGGUGGGCGUAAUUAUCAAAAUGGUCCCUAUAAGGGAAGAGUGGGGCAGAAGAGUCAGAGAAGGAAAUGUGAUGACGAGAGCGGAGAACCAGAAGAAUGCAGCAUGAGAAAGACUUGACCAGCCGUGGCUGGAUUUGAAGAUGGCGGAAUGGAGCCACAAGCCAAAGAAUGAGGGCAGCCUCUAGAAGCUGGAAAAGUGGAAGAAAAUUGAUCUUCAUGACAGACCAUACUCCUCUGAAAGCAUCCCCAAGCCAUCACCAUGACUGUUUGGGGUACAACCUUCUAUUAUAGGCAGCAUUGGGGCCAUCCGCCUUUGUCCAACGUUCUCAGUGGAAAAUUUCUGUCUAGUUUACAAGCAUGAAAUUCAAAAAGCCAAAAAAUUUGUCAAGAAGCCAUCAGGGAGGCUAAGGAAAAAAGGCUACGAGCUAAGAUAUAGGGAAAUUUGACACGUGAAGAUCUGCCAGAUUUCAAAGGAACCACUUGUUCUACUUGUCUCAUGUACUUUUGGAAAAAAAUAUCAGGAAUCAAGUCCAACUAGGAUAAAAUAUAUUUGACAGAGCUUUCACCUGUGUGAAGACGUACUGAUCUUUAAGAGCGGAUGAAAGUAGAGAAGAUGAUAGAGGACACGAUAAGUCGGAUUCUCACACACACGUGAAACCACCCUACAAAUGUUUCAUUGCAACAUGCUGUUUCAAUUAUCAUUCUCUGCAAUAUUUUGAGGGGAAGUUUCCAGGCAAAAUGCCCCAUGAUGGCUACCAAUAGGCCAUAUGGAAAUGAUGAACAGUCUGUCUGUGUUUGCUUUCACACACAUGAACCAGUCUAAAUGAUUUGAUUAAGUUUACCAAACUUCUCAGUCAAAAAGAGGAACUGUGGAGUCAGUUGCUUGUUUGUUUCCCUUCAUACAAUGUUAGACUAGAAAGAAUCUUAAAAUCCAUCUAUUCCAGCUCUUUUGUUUUACUGUGUAAUUAACUUGCCCAAGGUCACAUAGGCAGUUAGUGCCAAAAUGAAGUGAUCAUUCUAUGCCAUCGUUGUUCUAUCAUAUCUGACAUAUUUGUAUUUUUUAUUAAUUUACAUAAGUCUGAUAGUACCUCUGACAGCAGUCUACAUAAUACUUAUUUCUUAGUUUGUUGACUAUUUAAAUAAACAAUAAAUACAAUUUUCUUUCUUUCUUUUGUUUUUGUUGGUGAGGAAGAUUCACUCUGAGCUAACAUCUGUUGCCAAUCUUCCUCUGUUUUUGCUUGAGGAAGAUGAGCCCUGAGCUAACAUCUGUGCUAAUCUCCCUCUAUUUUUUGUAUAUGAGUUGCCACCACAGCAUGGCUUGAUGAGCGGUGUAGGUCCAUGCCCAGGAUCCGAACCCGUGAACCCGGGCCACCAAAGCAGAGCAAGCAGGACUUAACCACUACACCAUGGGGCCAGCCCCAGCAUUUUCAUUUUUGAGACAUGCUUUUACUUCUAUUCAAAUGCUGCAUGCAGCAUGCUCUU
ensembl:lncRNA